AGGGCGCACGGUGGAUGCCUUGGCACUAGGAGCCGACGAAGGACGUGACAAACGACGAUAUGCCUUGGGUAGCUGUAAGUAAGCGAUGAUCCAGGGAUUUCCGAAUGGGGGGAACCCAACAGGUAAUACCUGUUACCUACAUCUGUUAAGGAUGUGAGGAGGAAGACGCAGUGAACUGAAACAUCUAAGUAGCUGCAGGAAGAGAAAGCAAAAGCGAUUGCCUUAGUAGCGGCGAGCGAAACGGCAGAAGGGCAAACCGAAGAGUUUACUCUUCGGGGUUGUAGGACUGCAAUGUGGACUCAAAGAUUAUAGAAGAAUGAUUUGGGAAGAUCAGCCAAAGAGAGUAAUAGCCUCGUAUUUAAAAUAGUCUUUGUACUUAGCAGUAUCCUGAGUACGGCGGGACACGUGAAAUCCCGUCGGAAUCUGGGAGGACCAUCUCCCAACCCUAAAUACUCCCUAGUGACCGAUAGUGAACCAGUACCGUGAGGGAAAGGUGAAAAGCACCCCGGGAGGGGAGUGAAAUAGAACCUGAAACCGUGUGCCUACAACAAGUUCGAGCCCGUUAAUGGGUGAGAGCGUGCCUUUUGUAGAAUGAACCGGCGAGUUACGUUAUGAUGCGAGGUUAAGUUGAAGAGACGGAGCCGUAGGGAAACCGAGUCUGAAUAGGGCGCCUUAGUAUCAUGACGUAGACCCGAAACCAUGUGACCUACCCAUGAGCAGGUUGAAGGUGCGGUAAGACGCACUGGAGGACCGAACCAGGGCACGUUGAAAAGUGCUUGGAUGACUUGUGGGUAGCGGAGAAAUUCCAAACGAACUUGGAGAUAGCUGGUUCUCUCCGAAAUAGCUUUAGGGCUAGCGUCGACAUUAGAGAUUCUUGGAGGUAGAGCACUGUUUGGGUGAGGGGUCCAUCCCGGAUUACCAAUCUCAGAUAAACUCCGAAUGCCAAUGAAUUAUGGUCGGCAGUCAGACUGCGAGUGCUAAGAUCCGUAGUCGAAAGGGAAACAGCCCAGACCACCAGCUAAGGUCCCAAAAUAAUUGUUAAGUGGAAAAGGAUGUGGGGUUGCACAGACAACUAGGAUGUUAGCUUAGAAGCAGCUAUUCAUUCAAAGAGUGCGUAAUAGCUCACUAGUCGAGUGACCCUGCGCCGAAAAUGUACCGGGGCUAAAACAAUUUACCGAAGCUGUGGAUACCUUUAUAGGUAUGGUAGGAGAGCGUUCUAUGUGUGAUGAAGGUAUACCGUGAGGAGUGCUGGAACGCAUAGAAGUGAGAAUGCCGGUAUGAGUAGCGAAAGACAGGUGAGAAUCCUGUCCACCGUAAGACUAAGGUUUCCAGGGGAAGGCUCGUCCGCCCUGGGUUAGUCGGGACCUAAGGAGAGACCGAAAGGUGUAUCCGAUGGACAACAGGUUGAUAUUCCUGUACUAGAGUAUGUAGUGAUGGAGGGACGCAGUAGGCUAACUAAAGCAGACGAUUGGAAGAGUCUGUCUAAGCAGUGAGGUGUGAAUUGAGUCAAAUGCUUAAUUCUAUAACAUUGAGCUGUGAUGGGGAGCGAAGUUUAGUAGCGAAGUUAGUGACGUCACACUGCCAAGAAAAGCUUCUAGCGUUUAAACAUACUCUACCCGUACCGCAAACCGACACAGGUAGUCGAGGCGAGUAGCCUCAGGUGAGCGAGAGAACUCUCGUUAAGGAACUCGGCAAAAUGACCCCGUAACUUCGGGAGAAGGGGUGCUGACUUAAAGUCAGCCGCAGUGAAUAGGCCCAAGCAACUGUUUAUCAAAAACACAGCUCUCUGCUAAAUCGUAAGAUGAUGUAUAGGGGGUGACGCCUGCCCGGUGCUGGAAGGUUAAGAGGAGUGCUUAGCGUAAGCGAAGGUAUGAAUUGAAGCCCCAGUAAACGGCGGCCGUAACUAUAACGGUCCUAAGGUAGCGAAAUUCCUUGUCGGGUAAGUUCCGACCCGCACGAAAGGCGUAAUGAUUUGGGCACUGUCUCAACGAGAGACUCGGUGAAAUUUUAGUACCUGUGAAGAUGCAGGUUACCCGCGACAGGACGGAAAGACCCCAUGGAGCUUUACUGCAGUUUGAUAUUGAGUGUCUGUACCACAUGUACAGGAUAGGUAGGAGUCUAAGAGAUCGGGACGCCAGUUUCGAAGGAGACGCUGUUGGGAUACUACCCUUGUGUUAUGGCCACUCUAACCCAGAUAGGUGAUCCCUAUCGGAGACAGUGUCUGACGGGCAGUUUGACUGGGGCGGUCGCCUCCUAAAAGGUAACGGAGGCGCCCAAAGGUUCCCUCAGAAUGGUUGGAAAUCAUUCGCAGAGUGUAAAGGUAUAAGGGAGCUUGACUGCGAGAGCUACAACUCGAGCAGGGACGAAAGUCGGGCUUAGUGAUCCGGUGGUUCCGUAUGGAAGGGCCAUCGCUCAACGGAUAAAAGCUACCCUGGGGAUAACAGGCUUAUCUCCCCCAAGAGUUCACAUCGACGGGGAGGUUUGGCACCUCGAUGUCGGCUCGUCGCAUCCUGGGGCUGUAGUCGGUCCCAAGGGUUGGGCUGUUCGCCCAUUAAAGCGGCACGCGAGCUGGGUUCAGAACGUCGUGAGACAGUUCGGUCCCUAUCCGUCGCGGGCGUAGGAAAUUUGAGAGGAUCUGCUCCUAGUACGAGAGGACCAGAGUGGACUUACCGCUGGUGUACCAGUUGUCUUGCCAAAGGCAUCGCUGGGUAGCUAUGUAGGGAAGGGAUAAACGCUGAAAGCAUCUAAGUGUGAAACCCACCUCAAGAUGAGAUUUCCCAUGAUUAU
rnacentral:rRNA from 1 species